GACGAACGCUGGCGGCGUGCCUAAUACAUGCAAGUCGAACGCUUUUUCUUUCACCGGAGCUUGCUCCACCGAAAGAAAAAGAGUGGCGAACGGGUGAGUAACACGUGGGUAACCUGCCCAUCAGAAGGGGAUAACACUUGGAAACAGGUGCUAAUACCGUAUAACACUAUUUUCCGCAUGGAAGAAAGUUGAAAGGCGCUUUUGCGUCACUGAUGGAUGGACCCGCGGUGCAUUAGCUAGUUGGUGAGGUAACGGCUCACCAAGGCAACGAUGCAUAGCCGACCUGAGAGGGUGAUCGGCCACACUGGGACUGAGACACGGCCCAGACUCCUACGGGAGGCAGCAGUAGGGAAUCUUCGGCAAUGGACGGAAGUCUGACCGAGCAACGCCGCGUGAGUGAAGAAGGUUUUCGGAUCGUAAAACUCUGUUGUUAGAGAAGAACAAGGAUGAGAGUAAAACGUUCAUCCCUUGACGGUAUCUAACCAGAAAGCCACGGCUAACUACGUGCCAGCAGCCGCCGCGG
rnacentral:rRNA from 1 species